GGGUGUGAGGGUGAUCUGGCUGCAACAUCUGUCACCCCAUUGAUCACCAGGGUUGAUUCGGCUGAUCUGACUGGCUAGGUGGGUGUUCCCUUCCUCCUCAGUGCUCCACGUUCGUCCCUCCCGAAGCUGUGAGCUCAGUCGAAGAGGACAAAGUUCCCCGAUAGAGGAGAGGGCCGUUCUUCAGUCAAGGAUAUACAAGUAGCUGUACUCCCCUGCUAGAACCUCCAAACAAGCUCUCAAGUUCUGUUUGUAGGAGGGGGAAAAAAAACCCACUAGAUGUUAAGGAGUAUCUGUGAUAUACCAC
rnacentral:snRNA from 1 species